GAGCGAGGUGAUGGCAGCGCGUGAGAUAGGUGGGCGUGCGCAGGGACAUCACGAUCUGUGAGCGGACGGGGAGAGGUGGGAACGAAGUGAAGAUGUGCGGGUUGGGACUGCUUCAGAACGAACAAGACGCCCCAGCUAGCUGGACGGCGAUGCAAGAUGCACAGGCCGUCGUCUUACCUUGUUGUGGAGGCGCUUUUGCGGUCGCGUGCAGCCCCUCCUGCUGGUGUUGAGGCCGCCGCCAGAGAGGUAGACCGGGAUUGAUGUCAUCCAGCAGCCGCCUAAGCAGUAGACCACUCUGGGAAAAGGUCUUCCCCGGAAAAAAAUCCGUUCCCGGAAAAAUGCUGAACUUUCCCGGAAGGGGCCAAAACUUUCCCGGAAGGGGGGCAAAAAGGGGGGCCCUGGUCGACCAGGGCCCCGGGCCAUACCAUGGCCAUGCAGCGCCAUCAGGUAUGUAUGUAGUUGGUGAGGACCCUCAGCGAGGGCACCUGUGCACGCAUGUGGAUGGAGAGAGAAAGUAGCACACGUGUUGCGGGAGUGCAGCAGAGGCUUGUGUGUGAAUAAGUAAGGGUGGGAUGUAUGGGCGGCCAAGUCGAUGGAUGGCCUCGCUAGGGGGGGCGCGGGGGUUAUAUAUAUGUGCCCCCAAUGGAGCCCAUUAUUAGGUCCGAAUAGUCAAGGAGUCGUACGUCGCCCAUGCAAUCCAGACUGCAGUGCGAGCUCUACGUAUAACCUUCGGUCUCAGUCAUCUGGGAGAUUUUGCGGGCGCCGCGCCACGGACAAUGCCACCCAGGCUCGGCCAACAAACCCGCUCGGCGAGCAAAGCAGUUCGCAAUACACAAGUUCUACCCACCUUCGGAGCAGGAAGUAAGCAACCCGGGCGCCGAGGAAUUGGGAGCGCCAGGGCCAGGGCAGCAGGGCCAGGGAUGGAUGGCGCGGGAGGGGGGGGGCAAGGUAAGGCGCGGGGAUGCAACAGGCCCCUCGUGCCCGCGUGAGUCGUGUGCGUGCGUGCUCCCCUCAUGCCCGCAUAAGUCGUGUGCUCCUCUCACGCCCUCGUGAGUCGCCCGAUCAUGUAUGUGCUCCCGCAGUUGUCGCUGCACCCAGCGUUCCCUCUAGCACAUGCCGUGCUGGGCGGCUAGCUGCGCUGUCAGCACUACGGCACAAUGAACGCGCCGAGGUGGCGAGGUUGGCGUGCGUGGACAGCAGGAACGGGCACCGCUUGCGGUUGCAUGCAUCCAGCUCGCUCACCCGGAGCGAGUCUGCCACACGCACACGCGUGGCGCCGUCGCCUGCAGCCGUACGUGGCGCAGCCGGUGUGCGACCCUGUCGUGCGACCCGCCGGCGGUGUCUGGAGCGCUAUGCAGUCUUCGCGCAGAUCAGCUGCGAUCAGACGCACGAUCGAUUUCAGCAAAUACCGGCGCGCGUCCGGUCAUCACACGUACCUUUUCGUAGCGUAGCAUGCAUGCACUGCAUAAGGAAGGGACUUCUCACAGUAAUGAUGACAGCGCCCGAGGCGGGCCCGACUGGCCUUUCAACGGCAGGACCGAGGUGCCUGUAAA
rnacentral:lncRNA from 1 species